UACGUAGGCAGCGAGCGUUGUUCGGAAUUACUGGGCGUAAAGGGCGCGUAGGCGGCCUGCUAAGUCGAACGUGAAAUCCCUGGGCUCAACCCAGGAACUGCGUCCGAUACUGGUUGGCUUGAAUCCGGGAGAGGGAUGUGGAAUUCCUGGUGUAGCGGUGAAAUGCGCAGAUAUCAGGAGGAACACCAAUGGCGAAGGCAGCACUCUGGGACGUGACUGACGC
rnacentral:rRNA from 1 species